rnacentral:tRNA from 1 species
GCUCAAGUAGCUUAAUAAUUUAAAGCAUUGUUCUUGUAAACCAAAGACGGACUUAAUCCCUAGAGCA